CAGCCGCCGCGGUAAUACGAAGGGGGCUAGCGUUGUUCGGAAUUACUGGGCGUAAAGGGCGCGUAGGCGGCCAUUCAAGUUAGAUGUGAAAGCCCUGGGCUCAACCUAGGAAUUGCAUUUGAUACUGUUUGGCUUGAGUUCGGGAGAGGUGAGUGGAAUUCCCAGUGUAGAGGUGAAAUUCGUAGAUAUUGGGAAGAACACCAGUGGCGAAGGCGGCUCACUGGACCGACACUGACGCUGAGGCACGAAAGCGUGGGGAGCAAACAGGAUUAGAUACCCCAGUAGUCCCUGUCUCUUAUAC
rnacentral:rRNA from 1 species